GCUACUGUGGCUCAGCCUGGCAGAGCGAUUGACUUGUAAUCAAUACGUCGAGAGUUCAAGCUAUGCGGGAUUCG
rnacentral:tRNA from 1 species